CCCUGGCAUCGGAGAUUACUUCCCGCCAGGAUACGUACACAAAUGUCGUUGGAAGCAGACUGGACAACAUUGAGAGGACAAUGGAGAAGAUGUCAAACAGUCUGCUUGAAAUGCAGAAGGCUCUUGCCGACAGCACGCCACAAUGCUACAGGUCAGAAUGGAAGAUCAUAGGGAGACUAUGGACGUCCUUCACAUUCUGGCCGAAUCCAUGAGCCAGCUCGUGGAGAACACAACAUGUCUGGCACACAGCAAUACCAACAUGUCGGAGAGCCAUCGACAAUCCUCAUCCAGCCAACAGCUCAUCGCAACCACACUGCAGAUGAUCUAUGACAAGCUCCCAGAACCAGCUCAUCAACACGCUGGUGAUCCACCAUUUCCGCCGUCACAAGCCACAAGGACGCCUCGUACCCUUCCUCAACUACCAUCCCAGUACAGACAGUCACAGAUGUACCAGGGAUAUACAGGGAUGUACCCCACCCACCAGAUGCCUCCACCACCGGCCGCCACAUCUACAGCCGCAUGUGCACAGAGGCCCAGUCAACGUACUACCCAGCCUCCCAGGACAUCGACACCCCACACUCAGGAGGAACACCAGGAUCCGGACAGACUUCCACCAUAAGCCCGGUCGUAUUGUUUUAUUUACUUCUAUGUUUUUCAUGUAUCCCUUUCUUCCCCUCCCAUUAGUUUUUUUUUCUUCUUACUAUUGUUUUUUCUUUGUUGGGCUUCCCCACCCGUGACCGGGUACUACCAAGGAGCUUUGUGUAGGCAUACAUGCGCGGGCAUGUAUGCGGGCGCGUGUGGUAACGGAUGAAAGCUCCUUGUGGCUACAUGUAUGAUGGGCCAAAGAGCAAUUCUGAUACCACUCUUUUACCCAAAAAAUCCUUUUUGUAAUGGUGUACAAUAGGCUUUCACUGUUGUGUGAAUUUACUAUUCACUAGUGUGUGUUUUUGGCUUAUUCAUAGGAUUGGGUGGAAAAUUGAAGUGGACGGCAUAGUUCGUGUUGUGCGUACCAAGAUAUCUAUCUACACAAGAAAAGAAUAUAAAGAAUAACAAACUACUUUUUUGUUUUAUUACCUUUCAAUUUUUAUUUCAAUAAUCAAAUACAAUUUUUCUUCAAUAAAUUUUUAAAAAGAGAA